GGAGGAGUCCUAUAGCGGCUAUUAGAACGGUCUUGAAAACCGUGACCCUUCGGGGUUCGUGGGUUCGAGUCCCACCUCCUCCG
rnacentral:tRNA from 3 species